UGAGCCGGCCGGGUGGCCGCGGCAUGGCGACGACCAUGUCGAGGAAGGUCGGGGCUCCGCAGGGCAGGGUGCUGGCUAGCGGCCAGUCGGGGUGACCCGCAGGAAAGUGCAACAGAGAGCAGACCGCCGAUGGCGUGCCGGGUGACCGGGACGCUCAGGCAAGGGUGAAACGGUGCGGUAAGAGCGCACCAGCGCCUGGGGUGACCCGGGCGGCUAUGCAAACCCCACCCGGAGCAAGGCCAAGCGUGGGAGGACCGGCCCGGUCGAUCU
rnacentral:RNase_P_RNA from 1 species